rnacentral:lncRNA from 1 species
AUCAACUGCACCCGCCUCGAGUUUCUGAAUGUGGAAAACAACAUGAUUAAUGACACGUUUCCAUUCUGGUUGAGACUUCUUACCAACCUACAAGUUCUUGUCCUUCGUUCUAACGAGUUCCAUGGGCCCAUAUCUUCUCCUGCAUUUUCUUUGAGUUUUCCCAAAUUGAGAAUCUUUGAUAUUUCGAAAAAUCGUUUCACUGGAGUUUUGCCAUCAUAUUACUUUGCUGGUUGGACUGCAAUGUCAUUGGUCAUAGACAUUGUAGAUAUUAUGCCGAGUAGGUUUGAGGGGCGUGACUCUGGGAACUUGUAUAACUCAGUGUCUAUGACGGCAAAAGGACUUGUGAUGGAGCUGGUUGGUAGUGGUUUCACAAUCUACAAAACUAUUGAUGUCUCUGGAAACAAACUCCAAGGAGAUAUUCCCGAAUCCAUCAGUUUACUCAAGGAGCUUAUUGUGCUCAACAUGUCAAACAACGCUUUUACAGGCCACAUUUCACCAUCUUUGGAGAACUUGACCAAUCUACAAUCAUUGGAUCUUUCUCAAAACCGAUUGUCUGGAGAAAUCCCACCAGAGCUUGGAAAGCUUACAUUUCUAGCGAGAAUGAACUUCUCUUACAACAUGCUUGAAGGUCCAAUACCACAAGGCACUCAAAUUCAAAGCCAGAGUAGUUCUUCUUUCGCAGAGAAUCCGAGGCUCUGUGGUGUCCCUCUCCAAGAAACAUGCGGCAGAGGAGACGAUGCAACGACUCAAGAGAAAGAAGAUGAAGAUGGAGAAAAGGAUCAAGUCUUGAGCUGGAUUGCAGCUGCAAUAGGCUAUGUACCUGGUGUGUUUUGUGGAGUCGUCAUCGGCCAUAUUCUCAGUUCAUAUAAACGUGACUGGUUCAUGAAAAUCUUUCACUCUUUUGCUUAAUAUAAGCAUCAGUUGCAUGAUGAUAUCUACUUAUAUUAUAAUCAUGUCCAUGCCGCUUUUUUUUAUACAUAAAUUAUAGUCUAAAACUUCAAAAUUUAAAUACAGUACUGACUAAUUUAGAGUUUAUAAUUUAUAAAAAAUGUUAAACAUAUAUAAAUAGAACUAUUAAUUUUUAAAGCUAUUUCAUUAUGCUUUAAAUAUAUCGUUAAUAUUUUUGAACAGGGUCCAAAAAAUAAUUGAGACGGCCCUGUCUAUCUCGAAAUGGAUUAUUUGGUAAUUAUAGACACAUGUUUGUUCUUUAACUAUUAUAUACAAUGGGCCUGCGCAUGUUAACUGUUUGGCCGAAAGGAGUGUGUAUGCAGAACUGAGGAAACUACUGUUUGACAUUUGACUCUGUUCGAGGUGUUAAAGUUAUAUAACAUAAUAUUGUGACUUCCCUUUUUCUGGUUGAUUAUGGAUUUUCCCUGAACAUUUUACGGAAUACCGGCGGCUUCGAAGAAAAUCUUCAGGCUACUUGUAUCGUCUGGGCAAUUUCUUAUUGUUACUUUUCGUGAGUGCUACCAUACUUUCUCUUAGUGGUACUUUUUCCAAGUGGAGACUACUUGGUCGAGCAUUCAUAUGGAAACUAAUAAUCUUAUUUUGCGGACAUAUCUUAUCUUGCUGGGCAUAUAAUUUUCAAUCUUCCAUUCUUUCACAGAAAACAAAAACAAAAAAAGAAAGAACAAAUAGACUUUAUGAUGCAUUCUUGUAUCCAAAGGAGGAGGAUGAUACGGAGCUUGUGUUUUAUCUUCUCUCUUUAUGCCUCCGUACUUGUUUUUGCUUCUCAUGCUGCGCACUUGUGCCGUCCAGACCAGAAAGAUGCUCUCUGGGAGUUCAAGAGCGAGUUCUACGUCGACGGGCUCCACUCUGAUGGUACGCCAGUUGAUAAGAAGACAGAGAGAUGGAAGAACAACAUUGAUUGCUGUUCUUGGGAUGGUAUCUCGUGUGAUCCUAAGACGGGUAAAGUCGUUGAGUUAGACCUCACGGACAGUUUUCUCAACGGCCCUCUGAGAUCUAAUAGUAGCCUCUUCAGACUACAACAUCUUCAUAUUCUGAAUCUUGGCUCCAAUAAUCUUUCAGGUAUUCUCCCAGAUUCCGUCAGCAACCUCAAAUAUUUGAGGGUUUUAAGUCUCGGUGGUUGCAGUUUCUAUGGACAGAUUCCUUCUUCACUCGGAAAUCUUUCUUAUCUCACUAAUCUUGAUCUUUCUCAUAAUGAAUUCAUCGGUGAACUACCUGAUUCAAUGGGUAACCUAAAGAAACUAACAGAUCUGGGACUUGACCAUAACAAGAUCAGUGGGAACUUUCCCCAUGUGCUACUCAAUAUGAGCGAGCUCACUCAGAUCGACAUUGGCUCUAACCAGUUCGAAGGUAUGCUCCCAUCUAACAUGAGUAGCCUCUCCAAACUGGUCUAUUUUGAUAUAAAUGAAAAUUCAUUUUAUGGAUCUAUUCCGCCAUCUCUCUUCAUGAUCCCUUCAUUGAUUCAACUUUACAUGGGAAGAAACAGCUUCAGUGGUCCUCUUGAGAUUGGGAAUAUCUCUUCACUAUCUCCACUUGGUUUUUUAGCACUUGGGGACAACAAUUUCAAUGGACCAAUCCCAAGAUUUAUAACAAAGCUAGUUGGCCUCUGGUACCUUGACCUCGCUUUAUGGAACACGGAGAAGGGAAAGGUUGAUUUCAGCAUCUUCUUGCACCUCAAGUCACUUACGUUCCUUGACCUCUCUUAUAUAAAUACAAGAAGCAGAGUUGACUUGAGUCUUUUCUCAGAUCUCAUGUCACUUGGUUAUCUGGAUCUUUCAGGGAUUAAUUUGAAGAUCAGUCCAACUCUCCACCUUCUCUCACCCAUAGAGAUCUUGACUUUAUCAUCUUGCAAUAUUGCUGAGUUUCCCAAAUUUCUAGAAACACAGACGAGUUUGUCAUAUUUAGACAUUUCUGCCAAUCAAAUCAAAGGUCAAGUACCAAAGUGGUUAUGGAGACUCCCGCUACUGAGGUAUGUAAACAUUUCUCAGAAUUCCUUCACUGGUUUUGAAGGAUCAGCGGACGUUAUUCAACGAAGUGAAAUUCUACUUCUUGAUAUAAGUUCAAACACAUUCCAAGGUCCAUUUCCUUUGUUACCAAACUCUACAAAGUUCUUUUUAGGCUCCAAUAAUCAUUUUUCAGGAGAGAUCCCUAAGACAAUAUGCAAGUUGGCUUCUCUUGAUACACUUGUUUUAUCUGAUAACAACUUCAAUGGUUCUAUUCCUCGGUGUUUUGAGAAUUUCAGUACCAAGCUUUCAGUCAUGCAUCUUCGGAACAACAGUCUAUCUGGUACUUUUCCGGAGGAAUCUAUCGGAGAUCACUUGAAAUCACUUGAUGUUGGUGACAACCGCUUAUCAGGAGUACUUCCCAAGUCUCUGAUCAACUGCACCCGCCUCGAGUUUCUGAAUGUGGAAAACAACAUGAUUAAUGACACGUUUCCAUUCUGGUUGAGACUUCUUACCAACCUACAAGUUCUUGUCCUUCGUUCUAACGAGUUCCAUGGGCCCAUAUCUUCUCCUGCAUUUUCUUUGAGUUUUCCCAAAUUGAGAAUCUUUGAUAUUUCGAAAAAUCGUUUCACUGGAGUUUUGC